rnacentral:lncRNA from 1 species
AGAGCUCAUCACACUGAGAUGUGGCCAGGACUUCACUGAGUCAUAGAAACAUAGAAUUGUCAUAGAACUAUUUCUCUUAGAAGGGACCCUUAAAGACCAUCUGGUCCAACCCCCUGCAGUGAACAGGGACACCCACAGCUCCAUCAGGUGCUCACAACCCUGUCCAGCCUGAUCUUGGGUGUCUCCAGGGAUGGGGCAUCCACCGCCUCUUUGGGUAGCCUGUGCUUCAUCACACUUAUUGUAAAAAACUUCUUCCUUACCAUGCAGUCUUAAUCUCCCCUCCUUUAGUUUGCGACCAUUUCUCCUUAUCCUGUCACAGAGACCCUGCUGAAGAGUCUGUCCCCUUCCUUCUUACAGCCCCUUUAGAUACUGAAAGCUGCUAUCAGGUCUCCCCGGAGACAUCUCCAGGAAUCUUUUAUUUUUAUUAAAACAACUUACUCCCUAUAUUAUUUGACCCUGCAGUGUGACAGUGCCCAAUCCAUGGCAGAACUCAGGCUGUAAGGUGUUUGCUGUGGGGUAAUGAUAUCAAGUUGGCCUACGGGCAGACAACCUUAUGGAGAGCUCACAUUGCACAGGAAUUGCAAGCUACAGACUGGAACAACAGAGAGCUGCAAAGCACACCUGCCCAUGGAUUAUGGAAGUGACUUCAUGCUAUCUGUCCAGAAGAAAUAAAGUUGCAGUGAGCAAAGGAAGGUUCCUUGACCUGACCAGAUGGAUCCAUGCAGAUGAAAAACAAAUUCUUCUCCUUCUUGAGGAAAGGAAGCUGUGUGGAAGUGAAAUAUCUGCUUGCUUUGGAUUUUUCACAAAAGGACAAUGUAAAUGGGGGUACCUCAUAAAAUGCAAAUAUAACUUCUGAGUGAGGGGAAGAAGGGUUUGACAGUAUAGUCCUUCUGGAAACAAUUCCAGCAGAGGAUUAGGAGCUAUGGAUGGUAUUUCCAUAAGCCUUUGUUUUUGGCCUGACGAUGACUCCCAGAGAAGCUAAUGAAAAUGCCAUUGUAUCCAAGAGGAACAGACCUGAGACAGCACAGAGCGAACUGCAGAUCCCAGCCUUUGACUCAGUAGUGUAAAUACUUUGCCUUUAUAAGCAAAGAUUAGUAAAUUCAGGGACGUUAUUCAAAAUGCAAUUUGGUAGCUGCUUCACCAAGCACUGUCCAUACACACUGAGCAUACUUAUCUCCUAUGGCUUUAAGACAGCUCUGUGUUGUUAAGGAACAAGGAAAUAAAUCACAAAAGCA